rnacentral:rRNA from 1 species
UACGAAGGGGGCUAGCGUUGCUCGGAAUCACUGGGCGUAAAGGGCGCGUAGGCGGCCUGAUCAGUCGGGGGUGAAAGCCUGUGGCUCAACCACAGAAUGGCCUCGAUACUGUCAGGCUUGAGACCGGAAGAGGUAAGUGGAACUGCGAGUGUAGAGGUGAAAUUCGUAGAUAUUCGCAAGAACACCAGUGGCGAAGGCGGCUUACUGGUCCGGAUCUGACGCUGAGGGCGCGAAAAGCGUGGGGGAGCAAACAGG